UAGUAUGAAGCUGCAGACUCGGAGACCUGCAUCUACAGUCCCCCUGCACCUAGAGUCCCGCAUUCUCAGACCCCUCGUUUUUAGAGACAGCGCCUCCUAUCAAAUUGUAUCGGAUAAACAUGUGAAGAACUUAAGCCAAAACGUGCGUAUAGGCUAUCUUCAAUUUUAUUUAGCGAAUCGUAGUAGCCUGAUUUAUUUUUUAAUAAAACUAAUUUAGCUCAUCGAUACAACAUAUGAAUAGUCCAUUUAAUAUUUGUAAAGAUAGUUUGUAACAAGAUUUGAGCCGUUAAUGUAUGGUUUUUCGCCCUCUUCCCCCCGACAAUAUUUUGAUAGUUAACGUUAGCCUUUAACCUUGGACUUUUUGUAGAUAUGUCAUAAAUGCUGCAGUGAUUUUCACUGCCCAUUUUGUGCCCCCAUAUAUUUCAAACCCACAAAGUUGUCCAAAGUUCAAAAACAUCUCACUUCAACAGAGCAGUGCAACAUGAAGGUAACAUUUGCAAACAUCUUUUUUCUUUUUUUUCUUUCUUUCUUUUUGAAACAUCAUAAGACAUGUGCUAUCGGGCCUACUGUUUCGCCCCUGCCGAACCCAGCAACAUAUCAUUUUAUGAUUAUGCAAAGCGACUUAUAAAUUAGUUUUUUUAAUGCAAUUGAAGACGAAAAGUAAAGUCACGAACACAGUUUUUUCUUCCUUUUUUCUUUACAGCAAGAUGAUGUUUAGGUGAUCAUUAAAUAAAGUACAGAAUUGUU